rnacentral:piRNA from 1 species
ACCUGCUGAGAAUGAUAGCAAUUAGAAGGG